UAAUAUAUCACCCUAUAUAAGCAAUUAUUUGGGACGACGAAUCAUUGUUGAGGCGAGGGUGAGGUCGCGUAGUUUCGUGUUUUGUUCCUUUUCAUUGUCGUUUUUGUGUCCAGACCUAACCCUAGCUCCGCAACGCAACCAUGUCGACCAAGCAAGGUGGAAAAGCUAAGCCUUUGAAGAAGCCCAAGUCUGACAAGAAGGAUUACGACGAGGUUGACAUGGCCAACCUUCAGAAGAAAAAGGAUGAGGAGAAGGCGCUAAAGGAGUUGAAAGCCAAGGCGCAACAGAAGGGAAGUUUUGGAGGUUCUGGGCUCAAGAAAAGUGGAAAGAAAUAAGGUCUUUUUAUAAUUAUUGCAUGAAUGUAAUAUUGAGCUCUGUAAUUACAGUUGCUACCAUAAGAACUUCUCUCUUAUUGUGGCCUACUUUAUUGCUAAUGUUAGUACCGUAUGAACUGACGUAUGUCUGAUGUAAGCUGCAACAAGUUACUUGUUGGUGGCUAACUUAAAUGUCUUCGUGGGGUUCUGAUUAUUACAUCCAUAUAUUAGUGUUGUGGGUUUGAGUUAUAUAAUAAUGGCAUGGCUUUCAACUUUUAA